GACGAACGCUGGCGGCGUGCUUAACACAUGCAAGUCGAACGGAAAGGCCCUGCUUUGGUGGGGUGCUCGAGUGGCGAACGGAUGAGUAACACAAGAGUAACCUGCCCCUGACUUUGGGAUAACUUCAGGAAACUGGGGCUAAUACCGCACAGCAGCUCCUGCUGCAGGGUGGGGGUUGGAAAGUUUUGGCGGUUGGGGAUGGACUCGCGGCUUAUCAGCUUGUUGGUGGGGUAGUGGCUUACCAAGGCCUUGACGGGUAGCCGGCCUGAGAGGGUGACCGGCCACAUUGGGACUGAGAUACGGCCCAGACUCCUACGGGAGGCAGCAGUGGGGAAUAUUGCACAAUGGGCGGAAGCCUGAUGCAGCAACGCCGCGUGCGGGAUGACGGCCUUCGGGUUGUAAACCGCUUUCGCCUGUGACGAAGCGUGAGUGACGGUAAUGGGUAAAGAAGCACCGGCUAACUACGUG
rnacentral:rRNA from 1 species